rnacentral:tRNA from 1 species
GCUCAGAUGGUAGAGCGCUCGCUUAGCAUGCGAGAGGUACUGGGAUCGAUGCCCAG